GACGAACGCUGGCGGCGUGCUUAACACAUGCAAGUCGAACGGAAAGGCCCUGCUUUUGUGGGGUGCUCGAGUGGCGAACGGGUGAGUAACACGUGAGUAACCUGCCCUUGACUUUGGGAUAACUUCAGGAAACUGGGGCUAAUACCGGAUAGGAGCUCCUGCUCCAUGGGGGGGGUUGGAAAGUUUCGGUGGUGGGGGCAGGACUGGAGGCUUAUCCGCUUGUUGGUGGGGUAGUGGCUUACCAAGGGUUUGACGGGUAGCCGGCCUGGGAGGGUGAACGGCGACCAUGGGACUGAGAUACGGCGCAGUCGCGGACGGGAGGCAGUAGGGGGGAAUAUUGCACAAUGGGGGGACGCGUGUGGCAGCGACGCCCGGUGCGGGAUGACGGGUUUCGGGUUGUAAACCGCUUUCGCAUGUGACGAAGCGUGAGUGACGGUAAUGGGUAAAGAAGCACCGGCUAACUACGUA
rnacentral:rRNA from 1 species